rnacentral:rRNA from 1 species
GGGGGACCUGCGGAGGGAUCAUUACACAAAUAUGAAGGCGGGCUGGAACCUCUCGGGGUUACAGCCUUGCUGAAUUAUUCACCCUUGUCUUUUGCGUACUUCUUGUUUCCUUGGUGGGUUCGCCCACCACUAGGACAAACAUAAACCUUUUGUAAUUGCAAUCAGCGUCAGUAACAAAUUAAUAAUUACAACUUUCAACAACGGAUCUCUUGGUUCUGGCAUCGAUGAAGAACGCAGCGAAAUGCGAUAAGUAGUGUGAAUUGCAGAAUUCAGUGAAUCAUCGAAUCUUUGAACGCACAUUGCGCCCUUUGGUAUUCCAAAGGGCAUGCCUGUUCGAGCGUCAUUUGUACCCUCAAGCUUUGCUUGGUGUUGGGCGUCUUGUCUCUAGCUUUGCUGGAGACUCGCCUUAAAGUAAUUGGCAGCCGGCCUACUGGUUUCGGAGCGCAGCACAAGUCGCACUCUCUAUCAGCAAAGGUCUAGCAUCCAUUAAGCCUUUUUUUCAACUUUGACCUCGGAUCAGGUAGGAUGCCCGGUUCCCC